UCCAUCACCCAAACCAAAACUUAUCUUGUUCUCCUCCUCAUUUUCUUCUGAACAGAGAUCUUGGAAAUCAAAAUCCUAUGUCCCUCUCCCUCAACGAAAACUUGUGAACCAAUAUUAUCCUCAGCUAAACCUAGAUCUGUUAAAAUCAAAACUGUCCUUUGUAGACAUAAAUCAAACUCAAUUUGCUAUAAAUCAAAACCCAUCAGAAAUCAAACCUAAUUUCACUUACCGAAAUUUCGUUUUAAACAAACUCAAUUUGCUAUAAAUCAAAACCCGUCAGAAAUCAAACCUAAUUUCACUUACCCAAAUUUCGCUUUAAACCCUAGAUAUGUGAUUUUUGCUUAAAUAAAAUGCGUUUACCGGUGAAACCCUUAUUUCAUUGUAAUUGAUUUUGUGAGUCAAGUUUAUUUUGCACAGUUGAAUACCAACCUCAAUGAAAACUCUCUGAUCUGAAAUUUUAAUUAUGUGAAUCUUAUUUUACAUCACGAAAAAUACGAAGAAGAUGCGAGCUGAGAAUAGAGAAAGAAGAGGGGGAUCGAAUUUGAUUGGUGGUAGUUGCUUCAAAUGGUGGAGUUUAGGAGUGUUUGCAAUGGUUUUCAGGUGAGGAAUGGUAGAGAUAAUGCAUAGAACUGCUGGUGUUUGGAGCAACAGAAGAUGAAAUGGGUUUUGCAGUUUUAGUCUGAAGUUGAAGUUGCAGGUUCAGGGGAUGGAUUUGGUUACUGCUAAUGGAUGGAGAAGAUAUGUGCUGAAAUGGCAGUUUCUGGUGGUUAUGUUGGUGAUUGUUUGUUGAGGAAUCUGAGAUGGAGAUGGAACUGCUAGUAUUGAUGAGAUGGUUUGUUUUUGAAGCUGUAUGUGGAUAAAAUGCAGAGAAACAGUGGGUUAUAUUUUUGCCGAUGCUUAGAGCUUGUGCUGAUGCAGUGGAUGUAUGAGAUGGAGAUGGUUGAGCAGCAGAGAGGCCUCGAAAUGUGUUGUGCUUGAAUCUUGUUGUUAUCAACAGAAUGGACUGUCUUGGUGAUGUGUAAACAAGGAAAAACAACAAAUAUGGUGUUGCAGUUGAAUGAAUGGGUUGAGCUGAUAUUGAGGAAUGAGAUGAAUUGCAGAUGGUUGGUGGUUUGAUAUUGCAGGAAUGGAGUUUUGUGGUUCAAUGGCCUUGUAAAAGCAGAAGCAAUUUCAGGAGCUGGAUGCUAGGGUCAGGAAGCUACAGCAAGUGUAGAUGAUGUUGCAGAACAAGAAAUUGUGAUGGACUCCAUAGCUAGUUCACAGAUAUUUACAAUGUCUUUUGAUGGAAACAGGUAGCUCUAUGACAUAAUGCUACAUCAUUGAGCAUGCUCGAUUAUAAAUGAUAAUCCGGUUUAACCCAUUAUGACAUAUAUGAAGCUGAUGAGCUAAGCUGGAAGCAUCCCCCUGCACGUGGAUGGCAAUGGACAUUAUAUUCUUUGGUUUGCUUCAUGAAAUAUCCUUUUAUACCAAGUAAAUUUUUCUACACUUCCGUGACGCAGAACAACUUUGUAUGUUCAUCCUCCCAACUUUGUUUGGCUGCAGACUAGAUAAGUCGAGUAUAUGAGUACAACAAAUAUGUUUUAGUAGAAAAAAUCCUACACACUAACUCCUGGAGACUCGGCAUCCCUUGCAAAUUGAUAAGACUGCUUUGGACCUGUAAGUUGAGGAGAGUAUAUUGGUCAUUGUAGUCCUAUCAGUAUGUAUUAUGAAAAGUUAGUAGGAUGCCAACAUCAAAUUAGGAUUUUGAAUUAUGUGUAAUUUAAUAUACUGAUUGUUUUUAAGCACCUAAUUGAGUGUGAAGUCUGUCACACCUGACACAGGUGCUAGUUUGAUUUGCUGAUUUCAAAAUUAAACUCCACGUCUCUUGUUUGUUGUUGAUCAUGUCACAAGAAAAGUUGGCAUCCAUAUAUUUUUAAAUAAUGCGAAGGGUAAUUGAGAGCUAUGUAGUGUGAGGCGUGCCUAAGGCACUCAAGGUGACCAGGAAAAAAGAAAGAAGGUAUGGCUCGCAUUUUUAGCGCCUUGGGCAGUUUAUUACCAUUUUGGUUUUUUACAUACUUUACUAAUUAUUUGGCUUUAACUUUUUAGGCCAGUUACGUUUCUUUGCAGUACAAUCCAACUGCACUUACUUCAGAUAUAUUUCCAUUGUAUCUUUAUCAAAAUAAAAUAGAGUUUGGAAGAUGGGGUGACUGCGAUUGCAGUGUGUUAAACAUAUACAACUUUGAAAAUGUGGUUUUCCAUUUAUUUUGUGGUUUGAAUGUCUUCUGAACUGAAUGAGCAUCAGAAAGUAUGAUGAUGAAAAUUUGAACCGCGCAACGCCUUAACCGAAGAGGACCAAAUUUUUUCCAAAGUGCUCAAUGCUAGUCUCCACUAAUUCUCUGAUCUUUUGCUGUGCAUUGAAGAACUUGGAGCUUUAUGAGUACAACAAAUAUGUUUAGUAGAAAAAAUCCUACACACUUUAUUAGCUUGCACCCACCCACCCACCCCCCGUUUUCAUCAAUACCAUGAUAGUUA